rnacentral:rRNA from 1 species
UACGUAGGUGGCAAGCGUUUGUCCGGAAUUACUGGGCGUAAAGGGCGCGCAGGCGGCUGCUCAAGUCAGGCGUGAAAGGCCUGGGCUCAACCCGGGAAUUGCGCUUGAGACUGGGCUGGCUUGAGUGCGGGGAGAGGAUGGUGGAAUUCCCAGUGUAGAGGUGAAAAUUCGUAGAUAUUGGGAAGAACACCGGUGGCGAAGGCGGCCAUCUGGGACCGCAACUGAC